CUACUACUGAUAGGAUGGUUUAGUGAGGCCCUCGGAUGGGCCCCGCCAGGUCAGCCCACUACCCCGGCAGAGCGCUGAGAAGACAGGUGAACUUGACUAUCUAGAGGAAGUAAAAGUCCUAACAAAGUU
rnacentral:rRNA from 1 species